rnacentral:lncRNA from 1 species
AUACGAGUGUGGGAAACAGCAGUGAUUCUAUCCCACGUCUUUCAUCAUGAGAUCCUAGUGCCCCCCAGAGUCUGACUAAUAAAAUCACUGAGACCAAGAUCCAACAAAUGGGCUCUCUGCUGAAACAGAUGGAAAUAUCUCAUGGCAUGGAGCUUGGGCUUCCCUCUAUCAGCUGUCCAAAGUAAUCCAGGUCAAAUGACCAAGGCAUGGAUAUUGCAGAUUCUUCCUAAGUUGGAAAAAGAAUUGGUCAAAUGAGGGCAGGAAUGAAUUAAUAAGAAGCAAUGGUGUGGAUCUGCAGAUUUGUGGAGUGAAUGCAUUCCAGGUGUCUUGUCAUCUGCUACAGCAGCACAGGUACCCUUGUUGAGUAAACCAAAAGAUUAAUGAAGUUCUUGAGGCCUUGUAAUUCAGCUCUGCUGCAGACCCAAAACUGAUGCGUGAAGUGAGCCCUUCCAGCUGUUUCACCAAAUCAUCUGUAGGGAACAAGGUAACUUUGAUUAGUGACUCUGACAAGUGGUCUGGAGCUUUUUUCUUAGUAAUGAAGAAAAGAAAUGGGGAAUCAGUUGCUGAUUAUGACUGUUGUGCAGAGUUUUGAAAUAAAACCAGUGGUAUGUGGCUGAACUUGCCUGAU